GUUUUAAACAGAUUAUUAAAAUCAUUGUUUAGUUUUCAGUAAGUUUUUCAUAAGGAUGAUAUAAUUGUUUUUGGGACCGGUAACAAAAAAGCUACCAUGUUUAAGUCCCAAAAUUACAUACGGUCAAAGCCAGCACAAAGGAAAAGAUCUUUCGAUUUGAAAGAUUAUCUUUUGGUAAUGAUCCUUCCGCAGGUUCACCUACGGAAA
rnacentral:misc_RNA from 1 species